AUUGAACGCUGGCGGCAGGCCUUACACAUGCAAGUCGAACGAGCGGCGGACGGGUGAGUAAUGUAUGGGCAUCUGCCCAGUAGCGGGGGAUAACUACUGGAAACAGUGGCUAAUACCGCAUACUAUUGGAUGGACCCAUAUGGGAUUAGCUAGUAGGUGGGGUAAAGGCUCACCUAGGCAACGAUCUCUAGCUGGUCUGAGAGGAGGACCAGCCACACUGGGACUGAGACACGGCCCAGACUCCUACGGGAGGCAGCAGUGGGGAAUAUUGCACAAUGGGCGAAAGCCUGAUGCAGCCAUGCCGCGUGUAUGAUGAAGGCCUUAGGGUUGUAAAGUACUUUCAGCAGGGAGGCGUUACCCGCAGAAGAAGCACCGGCUAACUCCGUGCCAGCAGCCGCGGUAAUUC
rnacentral:rRNA from 1 species